rnacentral:rRNA from 1 species
GACGAACGCUGGCGGCGUGCUUAACACAUGCAAGUCGAACGAAGUGGCGAACGGGUGAGUAACGCGUAAUCAACCUGCCCUUCAGAGGGGGACAACAGUUGGAAACGACUGCUAAUACCGCAUACUGAAGGAGGUGAUUGCUGCUGAUUAGCUAGGUGGAGGGGUAACGGCCCACCAAGGCGAGGAUCAGUAGCCGGGCUGAGGGGAUGAGCGGCCCCAUUGGGACUGGGACACGGCCCAGAGUCCUACGGGAGGCAGCAGGGGGGAAUCUUCCGCAAUGGACGAAAGUCUGACGGAGCAACGCCGCGGGAGUGAGGACGGCCUUCGGGUUGUAAAGCUCUGUUAAUCGGGACGCGGUACCGGAAUAGAAAGCCACGGCUAACUACGUGCCAGCAGCCGCGGUAAUUC